UACGUAGGGUGCAAGCGUUGUCCGGAAUUAUUGGGCGUAAAGAGCUCGUAGGCGGUCUGUCGCGUCGGCUGUGAAAUCCCGGAGCUCAACUCCGGGUCUGCAGUCGAUACGGGCAGACUAGAGUGCGGUAGGGGAGACUGGAAUUCCUGGUGUAGCGGUGAAAUGCGCAGAUAUCAGGAGGAACACCGGUGGCGAAGGCGGGUCUCUGGGCCGUAACUGACGCUGAGGAGCGAAAGCGUGGGGAGCGAACAGG
rnacentral:rRNA from 1 species